UACGUAGGGUGCAAGCGUUAAUCGGAAUUACUGGGCGUAAAGCGUGCGCAGGCGGUUUGUAAGUCUGUCGUGAAAUCCCCCGGGCUCAACCUGGGAAUUGCGAUGGAGACUGCAAGGCUAGAAUCUGGCAGAGGGGGGGUAGAAUUCCACGUGUAGCAGUGAAAUGCGUAGAGAUGUGGAGGAACACCGAUGGCGAAGGCAGCCCCCUGGGUCAAGAUUGACGCUCAUGCACGAAAGCGUGGGGAGCAAACAGG
rnacentral:rRNA from 1 species